AUUGAACGCUGGCGGCAGGCCUAACACAUGCGAGUCGAGCGGAUGAAGGGAGCUUGCUCCUGGAUUCAGCGGCGGACGGGUGAGUAAUGCCUAGGAAUCUGCCUGGUAGUGGGGGAAAACGUCCGGAAACGGGCGCUAAUACCGCAUACGUCCUGAGGGAGAAAGUGGGGGAUCUUCGGACCUCACGCUAUCAGAUGAGCCUAGGUCGGAUUAGCUAGUUGGUGGGGUAAAGGCCUACCAAGGCGACGAUCCGUAACUGGUCUGAGAGGAUGAUCAGUCACACUGGAACUGAGACACGGUCCAGACUCCUACGGGAGGCAGCAGUGGGGAAUAUUGGACAAUGGGCGAAAGCCUGAUCCAGCCAUGCCGCGUGUGUGAAGAAGGUCUUCGGAUUGUAAAGCACUUUAAGUUGGGAGGAAGGGCAGUAAGUUAAUACCUUGCUGUUUUGACGUUACCAACAGAAUAAGCACCGGCUAACUUCGUG
rnacentral:rRNA from 1 species